GUCGUUUCUUCUAGACCGUAAAAGUUCCAAUCUAUAAAUUGUCCCUUGUCUCAUUCCUUAGUUGGAUAUCAUUAUACUACGAUUGUUUUUUUGUCCAAUCGCGUACAUACAAUUCAAUAUCAUUAUAUUAUUUUAACGUAAGCCAGAGGUAGAAAAGAAUAAUAAUAAUAAAAAAAAAAACUUUCCCAAUUCAAUUAACCUGUGAAUUAUAAUACAGCAAUAUUUGUAUUGUUAUUGUUUAUUCGGUGUUGGGCGGGGGGGGGGGGGGAUACAAACAUAAAACAAUUUUUUCUUCCCGAGCCCACGUCCUCCUGCACUAUUGCAUUAUUAUUACCGUUCGAUAUCGCGGAAAAACCGUGCCUGCCCUGUCCUGCCCGCCACCCGGCCGCCGUUCCCGAACGUCGUGGUCCCGGUAUGCCAUUUGCCCGAAUGGAUUUCCAGCCAUAUCCGAUUUUAACUGCGCCCUGGCGGCCAAUAAAAUCUGAAUUUAACCGUAGUCCACGCGCAUAAAACAUUUGUCGUUUGCCGCCGGCUAAACGCGCAUUAACAACCCUUCACCUCCACCACCGGGGCUGUAAGUAAAUCGCAUAUAUACGGUGGUAGCCACCGCCACCCGACGCCGUCGUCGCCGAUGCAACCACCGUCGUCCUUUUCCCGAUCCACGUUCCGCCGCAGGUCCGUUCCUCUAAUAUUAUUAUGUACGCGUGUCCUUUUACCUCCGUGGCGCGACAGGACGGCGCAAGAGGACAUGAGGUGUCGACCCGUUGGGUAUAUAAAUACAUAACCCGAUAUGGUUAACAGAUGUCGAUCCGGUAUAAACCGCGUGCGUGUAUAAUAUUAUGUACGCCCGCGCGAGAGUGUGUGUGCUUUAUCGAUAACCCAACUGGAGACUAACGACAUUAUAUUAUUAUUAUUAUUAUUAUUAUUGUAAUGUUAUAACACGUUAUACGUACGCACGUCGGGAAAGUGAAAAUAAAAUUUAAGCUGUAGUUUGUUUAAAAGUUUUUUUUCAGAUGGAAAAAAAAAUACGAGAGAAAUGGCAAGUCGAUUUUCAUUCGCUAAUUGCCCCAUAACUCAAAACGACAGUAUUUUUUCCGAUACGCAUUUCGUAGGACUGAAAGUCACUCCUAAUGUAAUUAGUUUUUUGACGUUCGUCGAUUUUCAAGAAACAUAUUUCCUUUGUUAACAUUUUUUUUUUCUGCACCGAUAUCGAACUAUAUGCCUAGUGUGCAUUAAACAUUGCAAAAAUCGUAUUACUUAUUAGAAAAUUAAUUUAAUAUGACAAAAUAUAUCAUUUAUACUGAAUUUGUGUUCUUCAAUAAUGUGGACACCAAGUCAAAAUGAUAAUUAAAAUGAAGAAAGGAAGACAAAAACGUAAUAUACCAAAUACCAAUGAACCUAUAUGAAAUAAUUGGACGCAACUGUCAGCCAGAAAACGUCACGUCAUUCCUCAGGACCAUGGAGAAAUAUUGUUACCCAAAACAAAAAAAUAUAAUGUAUUAAUGUAUACAACUAUAAUAAUACCAUCUUCCAAAGCUAUAGCCUAUAAUAAUGAUCAAUAAAAAAAAAAAAAUUAUUAUUAUGCAAACAUUAUAAUAUUAGGUAUUAAAAAUAUCGACAUUUCAUUUUUUCUAGUACUUUAUUAUUAUUUUAAAUGAUUACAUAAUUUGUAAUGUCCUUUUUUAAAAAUAAAUUGUUGUAAACUUUAAUUUAAAAAUUCGUUGUAGUUUGUAUUGAACUUGAAAAGAGAAUAUAAUUCGAUUAUUUAUUGAAGCAUUUA